UUUUCCUAACUAUAAUCGUGCAAAACCUAAACCUUUCUAACAAAACCCUCGAAUUCAAUCUCCCGGAAAACCUAGACCAUAAUGGCGCACCACCACCAGAUCUUUCCGGCGACUGUUAGGGUUUUGCGCAAAAAUUAAAUCACACAGCGUCAAAUGGCCGGAGCUAGAUCUUUGUUCUUUGGCUCCCCUCUCCUUCUCUCUCUUUGGCUGUUUUAUAUAUCAAGAAAUAAUUCAACUUGUGGAGUGCACCAACUUUGGAAGGCUUAAUUAUGGCUAUGGCACUAGUUGGAGCAACUCUGAUCACAACAUGUUGCGGACCGAUUUCAGAUCGUGUUGGUCGUCUCCCUAUGAUGAGUAUCUCAUCACUCUGUUACUUUGUUAGUUCCUUAAUAAUGUUGUGGUCUCCCAAUAUUUAUCUUCUACUCUUGCGUCUUCUAUUGGAUGGUUGCGGAAAUGGUUGGAAGUCACUCUUUGUUCCACUUUAUAUACCAGAGACAGCUCCAACUGAAAUAAGGGGUUCAUUGAACACACUUCCUCAGUUCACUGAUUCUGGUGGAAUGUUUGUCGCGAACUGUACGGUUUUUGGGAUGUCACUAAUGGAAAAACCUAGUUGGAGAUUGAUACUUGGGGUUCUUUUAGUUCCAUCCAGUAUUAUUAUAUAUUAAAUGUAUUCUUCUUACCCGAGUCUCCUCGUUGGCUUGUUAAUAAGGGAAGAAUGAAUGAGGCCAAAAGGGUUCUUCAACAAUUGCGAGGCAGGGAUGAUAUCGUUAUAUUUUAACAAAGCUCCCAUGUAUUCUCAAACUACAAAUAACGAGCUAAGGGAGAGGUGGAUCUCAUACGUUAUCGAAUAUCACCAACCAAAUAACGAUGAAGAUGAAUAUUAUGAUGACGAUGAUCUAGUGUGACUUAAGCUAGCUCAGGGAGAUGGUUACCUAAGUUCAGUCAUGCAGAUGAACUGCCAAGUCUACCACCAGUAGACAAUUCCACUAAUAUGGUCCUUGUCCUUGCUGCAGAAGCUGCUAUUGUUUUUGCUACACCAUCCCCAGUUGCUGCUGCUACACAAUCCCCAGUACGUUGCUGCUGCUACAGAAGCUCUAGCGGCUUCUGCAGAGGCCAGCUCUUGAAUUUUUUAUUUUUAUUUAUAUUGGAUUUUGUUUUUACCGUACCUUGUGUAGAUCGUUUAUAUUUUGUCAAUGAAUAAUAGGAUUUUGUUAUUGAAUGAACAAUAUUAUGUUGUUAUUGAAUGAAAGGAUUUUUGGAAA